rnacentral:rRNA from 1 species
AAUUUCUGGUCUUUCAAACUCGAACUGUUUCUUUGAAACACGUCUCGAAUUGUUUGGGGACCAUCGUUCUGGAUUGUAUGUCGCCUCUUAAUUGAGUGUGCCAUGUGAUCCAGAGCAUUUACUGUGAGCAAAUGGGAGUGUUCAAAGCAGGCUUUAUGCUAUGCUUGAACCGUCUAGCAUGGAAUAAUAAAAUAGAACUUGGUUCUAUUUUGUUGGCUUUUCGACCCAAGUAAUGAUCAAUAGGGACAGUUGGGGGUGCUCAUAUUCAGGGGGUAGGGGUGAAAUCCUAUGAUCCUCUGAAGAUGGACUAAUGCGAAAGCAUU